GGUUAUUUGUGAUCCGGUUUCCGCGCAACCUCCUGGCGGGCCCUGAAUGUGAACUGUUUUGAACCUGGAGAUUUUGCCUGUUCAGCUGAGCCCCAAAUUAAGCUGGAUUUGACACCUAUUUGUAUAGACAUGACAGCAAAAUGUCAAAAGGGGGGCGGCGGUAAGUUGAUCGGUAUCUUGCAUCUGCAUAUGUAGACACUUCCAG